CAACUCUGCUUCUCCUUCAGAAUUUCAUAAACGGACAAAUCUUUCGCCUUUUACUAAAGAUUUCCGUGGAGGAGAAGAAAAGAAUGAGUCUAUAGACAUUUUUCCUGGCUUGGCUCACGAGCUGAGC
rnacentral:snRNA from 1 species